UACAGAGGUCUCAAGCGUUGUUCGGAUUCAUUGGGCGUAAAGGGUGCGUAGGUGGUUGGGUAAGUUUGAUGUGAAAAGCUCAGGGCUUAACCCUGAAAUGGCAUUGAAUACUACUUAACUGGAGGUUUGGAGGGGGGGACUGGAAUUCUUGGUGUAGCAGUGAAAUGCGUAGAUAUCAAGAGGAACACCAGUGGCGAAGGCGAGUCCCUGGACAACACCUGACACUGAGGCACGAAAGCUAGGGGAGCAAACAGG
rnacentral:rRNA from 1 species